GACGAACGCUGGCGGCGUGCUUAACACAUGCAAGUCGAACGAUGAACCCGGAGCUUGCUCCGGUGGAUUAGUGGCGAACGGGUGAGUAACACGUGAGUAACCUGCCCUUGACUCUGGGAUAACUGCGGGAAACUGUAGCUAAUACCGGAUACGACCCUCGGCGGCAUCGCCAGGGGGUGGAAAGAAUUUCGGUCAAGGAUGGACUCGCGGCCUAUCAGCUAGUUGGUGAGGUAACGGCUCACCAAGGCGACGAUCAGUAGCUGGUCUGAGAGGAUGAUCAGCCACACUGGAACUGAGACACGGUCCAGACUCCUACGGGAGGCAGCAGUGGGGAAUCUUGCGCAAUGGGGGCAACCCUGACGCAGCCAUACCGCGUGAGUGAUGAAGGUCUUCGGAUUGUAAAGCUCUUUCGGCGGGGACGACGAUGACGGUACCCGCAAAAGAAGUCACGGCUAACUUCGUGCCAGCCGCCGCCGUAA
rnacentral:rRNA from 1 species